CAGCAUCAACUUUCAAGCAUGGAUCUCCUGUCACAGGUCCCCUCCCUACCUCGUUUAAGACCACAAGGCUGAAGGUCAAUAUUCCACAAGAACAUGUUCAGGCCAGAACUGUUGACGUGCCUGACCUUCACCCAACAAAUGAGGUGCUGGCCCAGUUGGAGAGAUUAAGUGCCCAGUGUCCUCUGAUUCUGACUUCCUUGGAAUGUCCCACAAGUGGCGGAAGACAGGCCUCUCUUGAAUUCCUGAAGAGUAAACGUUUUCUUCAACCAAGACAAACCACUGUUGGUCUCCCACUUGAGGCGCUUCUCACAUCCUCCCCAUUGCUAUGUGCUGCUGCCAACUCCUUCUUUCCAGGAGAACCUGCUGUGAAUGCAGAGGCUAGUAAGAUUGCCAUUGAAGACGGAAGAUUAAAUAUUUUUCUGUAACAGUAAGUUGUUUUACUG